rnacentral:rRNA from 1 species
AUUGAACGCUGGCGGCAGGCCUAACACAUGCAAGUCGAGCGGAGCGGCGGACGGGUGCGUAAUGCCUAGGAAUCUGCCUGGUAGUGGGGGAUAACGUCCGGAAACGGGCGCUAAUACCGCAUACUAUCAGAUGAGCCUAGGUCGGAUUAGCUAGUUGGUGGGGUAAAGGACUACCAAGGCGACGAUCCGUAACUGGUCUGAGAGGAUGAUCAGUCACACAGGAACGGAGACACGGGCCAGAGUCCUACGUGAGGAAGCAGUGGAGAAUGGUGGACAAUGGGAGAAAGCCUGAACGAGCCAUGCCGCGUGGGUGAAGAAGGUCUUAGGAUUGUAGAGCUCUAAAAGUUGGGAGGCGGUAGCAGCAGAAUAAGCGCCGGCUAACUACGUGCCAGCAGCCGCGGUAAUUC